rnacentral:rRNA from 1 species
UCAAUAUAAAUUGAUUAAUAUUUAUUUAUUAAUUUUUAAUUUUUUUUUUUGUUAAUUAUUAAAAAUAAUUAUAUAUUUUAUAGUUUUAGUAAAGUUUAUUGAAAUAAUAAUUUAAAUGAUAGUGUAUUAAAGUACCGUGAGGGGAUAUUGAAAUAUUUUGAAAAAUUCUUAUUUAAAAAGAAUAUUUUAUUUAUAGUACCUUGUGUAUCAGGGUUUAUCAAUUAUUUAGUAAUUAUUUGCUAAUCUCGAUUUUAUAAGAGUUAAUAAUUUAUGAAAUAUAAUGUAUCAAAAUUAUUUUUAAUAAAUUAUUAGAAAUGAAAUGUUAUUCGAUUAUAAAGGUAUCUAGUUAUUUCAGAAAUAAAUUUAAUUUAUUAAUUUUUAAUUUUUGGGUUAAUUGUGUAAAUACAAAAAUUUAAUAAUUAUAAUAUCUUAAGGGAUAAGCUUUAAGAUAAAAUAUUAAAAGUUUAAUUUUAUAAUGAUAAAUGUAUGCAUAGAAUUAGCAAUCAUUAAUAAGUUUGUUUUAAAUUAUUUCGUUAUAUAAAUUAUUUAUUUUACUUUAAUUAUUUAUGAAAUUUUCUUUUUUAAUUUAAUAAAUAGAAUAAUAAUGGUAAAAUAGUAUAUUUUUUGUUUAUUUAAUUUUAUCUGAUAAGUUUAUAUAAAGAACUCGGCAAAUAUUAUGCCCGCCUGUUUAACAAAAACAUGUCUUUUUGAGUUAUUUUUAAAGUCUGACCUGCCCAAUGAUUAAUAAUUUAAUGCCCCCAGAAUUCUAACUGUGCAAAGGUAGCAUAAUCAUUAGUCUUUUAAUUGAAGGCUGGUAUGAAUGGUUGGACGAGGUAUAAGCUGUUUCAUAUAAAUUUUAUAUAGAAUUUUAUUUUUUAGUUAAAAAGCUAAAAUAAUAUUAAAAGACGAGAAGACCCUAUAAAUCUUUAUAAUUUAUUUUAAAUAAGUUUUUUGGAUUUAGUUUAUUUUUUUAAAAUUAAUUAUUUUAUUGGGGUGAUAUUAAUAUUUGUUAAACUUUUAAUUUACAUAGUACAUUAAUUUAUGAUUUAUUGAUCCGUUAAUAGUGAUUAAAAGUUUAAGUUACUUUAGGGAUAACAGCGUAAUUUUUUUGGAGAGUUCAUAUCGAUAAAAAAGAUUGCGACCUCGAUGUUGGAUUAAGAUAUAAUUUUAGGUGCAGCCGCUUAAAUUUUAAGUCUGUUCGACUUU